rnacentral:rRNA from 1 species
GAACGAACGCUGGCAGCGUGGAUUAGGCAUGCAAGUCGAACGGGACCCAUCGGUUCAAUUCUUCGGAAGAGAACGGGUGGGGGAGAGUGGCAAAAGGGUGAGUAACGCGUGGGUAACCUACCCUCGAGUUGGGGAUAACCCUGCGAAAGUGGGGCUAAUACCGAAUGUGAUUCUUCCGUCCAGGCGGAAGUAAUCAAAGGCGGGGACCUUUCGGGGCCUGUCGCUUGAGGCUGGGCCCGCGUCCCAUCAGCUUGUUGGUGAGGUAACGGCUCACCAAGGCUUACGGCUAGCUGGUCUGAGAGGAUGAUCAGCCACACUGGGACUGAGACACUGCCCAGACUCCUACGGGAGGCUGCAGUCGAGGAUCAUUCGCAAUGCGCGAAAGCGUGACGAUGCGACGCUGCGUGGAGGAUGAAGGCCUUAGGGUCGUAAACUCCUGUCAUUCGGGAAAAAUUGUCCCCGCACUAACAUUGCGGGGGCGUGAUGGUACCUCAAGAGGAAGCCACGGCUAACUCUGUGCCAGCAGCCGCGGUAAUACAGAGGUGGCGAGCGUUGUUCGGAUUUACUGGGCGUAAAGGGUGCGUAGGUGGUUUUGUGUGUCGGAUGUGAAAGCCCAGGGCUCAACCCUGGAAGUGCAUCCGAAACUGCAAGACUAGAGUACAGGAGAGGAGAGCGGAAUUCUUGGUGUAGCGGUGAAAUGCGUUGAUAUCAAGAAGAACAUCGGAGGCGAAGGCGGCUCUCUGGAAUGUUACUGACACUGAGGCACGAAAGUUGGGGGAGCGAAGAGGAUUAGAUACCCUCGUAGUCCCAACCGUAAACGGUGUCGACUUGGUGUGAGGGGUAUUGACCCCCCCCGUGCCGGAGCUAACGCGUUAAGUCGACCGCCUGGGGAGUACGGCCGCAAGGUUAAAACUCAAAGAAAUUGACGGGGGCCCGCACAAGCGGAGGAGCAUGUGGCUUAAUUCGAUGCAACGCGAAGAACCUUACCAGGGCUUGACAUGGGGACCCUUCGGGGGUGGUAGCGAAAGUUACCUUUACGAUCACAGGUGCUGCAUGGCUGUCGUCAGUUCGUGCCGUGAGGUGUUGGGUUAAGUCCCGCAACGAACGCAACCCUUGUGUUUAGUUGCCACCGCAGGUGAUAAACCUGCGAGCACUCUAGACAGACUGCCCGUACAAGCGGGAGGAAGGUGGGGACGACGUCAAGUCAGUAUGGCCCUUACGCCCUGGGCUGCACACGUGCUACAAUGGCCAGUACAGAGGGAAGCAAUAUCGCGAGAUGGAGCAAAUCCCCAAAACUGGCCCCAGUUCGGAUUGGAGUCUGCAACUCGACUCCAUGAAGUUGGAUUCGCUAGUAACGGCGUAUCAGCUACGGCGCCGUGAAUACGUUCCCGGGCCUUGUACACACCGCCCGUCACAUCAUGAAAGCCGUCUGCACCCGAAGUCGCUGAGCUAACCCGCAAGGAGAUGGAAGGCAGGCGCCGAAGGUGUGGGUGGUGAUUGGGAUGAAGUC